CACACGUCACUGAAAAAAAAAAGAAAGUAAAGGGACCCUAUCGCGUAUUCAAAUAAAAGUGUUCCGGGUGUAAUUUCAUCGGCAGGCCCAAAAGAACGUCUGUAAUUCCGUGGGCGGUUUGAUGAAAUAAAGAUAAAUAAAAUGAAAGAGAGGAAAGAGUUAAAGAAAAAGGAGAGAAAAAAUACGCAGCGCUGCUCCGAUCGUAACUUAACCCGAAGUAAUCGUUUUCCUGCGUCAUUAGAUAUGAGAAUAUAUUGAGGGUUUCAAUAUACUACCGAAAAUCACGCGCGCUCAAUGGCUCAUUAAUUACACAGACAGAAGUUGGGAUUGGUCAAAUUUAUUAAGUGAGAGACACAGACGUAAGGGAAAUAUGUGGCAAUGCAAUCAUUACAUUCUGUGGUAAUAAGUUAUAAACUAGGAAUAAUAUUUCUAAUAAUAUUCAUACACUGCGAAUAGGAGUUAGGUAUUAUUAGAUUGAAGAAUCUGCAAUAAGGAUACUCUAGGAAUGGUCUAUUAAUGCUAACUCUACAGGCCCAGGGCCUUGUGAGUAAUCAGUACCUAUUUCUCACAAAUAAGCAAAAAGCACAGCCAUUAAAGAAUAUGAUGCCUGAUGUUCUUCCUGGAAAAGGAUUGUCAUUCUGAUAUAAUCACAUUAUAUAUGCAUAUGUAGGUUAUGCUUUAAGCCACAUUGUCAACAUCUUCAGCAGGAGCUAAAGUGUAAACCCUCUUGGAGAAAGAAGAGACAAACAAUAACGUCAGAGUCAUUAAGAGAAUUUCUACUGGUCAUAACAUACUAUUAUAUAUUGACCUGGUACUUAAUCUCUGUAUAAGGGGCAGCAGCCACAGAAGGAUAAAGAAAAAGAAUAAGAUUUACAUAUUCAGCAUGCCAAAGACAGGAUAAAAAUGUGGCACAAAGAAUAAAUAAAAAGAAUCUUGCCACUGAGAUAUUUAUAAUUGACAAAUAAUUGAUUUGUGAAUGAGAGCCAAUAUUCCAAAUUAUCAAAUGGCAAUAAAUGACUGUCAAAAGAAUUUAUGAAAACCUGAAAUCAGCAUUGCGAAUCAACGUUGAAGAAGAUCGGAUAGCGCCGGUGAUUAAUGUGAAUGGCGUCCAUUUUUUAUUUGUUGGUUCUUGCCGUGACCUCGUAACCUUUCUAAUGGUGGAGAGUGUCACCGUAUAUAUAUACUACAGAAGAAGAUCCACGCGAGGGAGAUACUGUUCACACAUAUGGACCUAGGAAAACAACGUCCCGGGGCAUUCACGGUUCCCGCCUUGCAGAAGUCGCAAUUAUCAUUGGUCCAUCCACCUGUUAAUGUGACAGUUGUUAAAAUGUUACCACUGGAUCUCCCACAGUAUUAUUAAUACGUCAAUAUACCCAUCUAUAAUUUAAUAGUGACCAUAAAGUCAGCACACAAUAAUUAUUACCGGCGAUAAAUGAACGUUGAAACAGUCAUUACUCGUGACGUUUAUUAAAGAAUUAUUCCAGACAGCAUGAAGAUUGUUUGCACGAGAAACUUUCUUUAAUAUUUCUCCAGGACAUUUGGAAGGAAUUGAAAAUUACCAUCCCACGUUAUCGCCAAGGUGACAGUGUCUGAUAUCAUUAAUGGCACAGGCAACUUUACCGCAAUGCUUUAAUAGCACCUUGAUAUGACCUGGCGGACGUUUGCGGUACUACAACACGAGAAAAUCACGUUUGCAAGUCUCUCUACGCAUGGCCGAGUCGUUAUUUAUCAGCGAUAGAGGAAUGAACCUAUUUAAAAGUUGCACAAGGAGACACUUGCCCGGCAGCUUCCCUCACCAGCCUCAGGAUUGACCUCGAGGUCAACAGGAACCUUUUGCACAAGAUACAGACACAGUCACUCUUCCUAGUCAGUGUAACCAGCUCCACUGUACCAAGUUACCCUGAAGAUGACUUUAGAGAGUUCACAAUAUUCCCAUGAAAAUUUCUUCAGUUAUUUCUGGCCUGAUACCCAGCUCGUAUCCUACGUGGGGAUAUCUUCUCAUAACCUAGCAAUGAAGGUGUACGAGAAGCCAGAAGGGUAAGACUAUGAUUGGAUCAUUACUGGAGCGUACACUGGAGGCAGGGUAGCCAACGAUGAAUCGAGAAACAGAAAUCUAAUGGCGUAUACGAAAGUGGAAGUACAUAAAAGGAUCCAAGGUACCUUAGAAAGGGGUAAGAACGUGCUCGAACCGCGAUGCGGAAUCCCGGUGUGACCUUCCACGGAGGAUCCGUGAACUUUGAUGGAGGGGAGGACUAGCAGGGGAACCGACUUGGCGGCAUCGACGUAGUAGCAACAGGUACACGGAAUGCAUAGAUGCAUGGAGAACGGAACCCACUGGUGGAGGUGGACGGCGACAGAGGGAAUACCGAUUAAAGGGAACAGGUAAAACGUGACCUGAAACUGAACGACCUCGAGGACCUGGCAGGGCCACGUAUCCUGACAGUAAGAACACAUCUAUCCAAUUGAAAGAUACAAAUUCCUUCAAUUAAAAAGUUGUCAGUGAGGACCGUCCAAUCUCAAGAACCGCCGAGACAUACGAUUCACGGCAAGAAAUAAAAAGCUACAGGAUAAUCCAAGGAAUUCUUUACCAUCACCAAGGCACACCUUGUUUAUCCAGACUCCUACUGCGACGCCACAGGAUUCGUAUGCGCACAGUAAUUGUUACCUGGACAUUUUCAUCUGAGCUUCCUCGUGAGACUCCAUAUUACGUACUUGGAGUAUGUAUAAUAUUUAUUUUACGAUCCUGUAAAAUACUAACAACGUUACGUCACUGCCACCCACAAUGCUCAUGGAGAGAUGCGAAAUUAUCAACCACCCUGUAUAGGAUAUACAUGCUGAACGGCACGUGUACGGCAUCGGCAGGGCUGGCUGGCACUGUGUAUAAAACCCCGUGGGUAGUUUAUGGGGUAUAAAUAUUAGAGACAAAGUGAAUUCUGUGAAGAUUGAAAAUUGAGACAUUCCCGGAUCGUAAAGAGCCGAGUAAUUACGUGAUAGGACGAGAAGAAGAGGAAGCUUGUACAACUGUGAAAUUAUGGUCCACGAUACGUUAAAAUACAGAAAUAUGCUGACUGCCACGGGGAUACUAGAGACUCUCUAAUGGUUCGAAUAAGAGAUGCAAUCGACGUGGAUCAUUUUUAUUGAAUGGCUAUAGCCAUAUAUGCAUAUAUAAGUAUGCUCCAUCGUUUUAUUGAUCCCGGAUAUAAUCUGAGGAUUCCACAGGAAUUACCCUAUUGGUGAACCUAAUGGUUUCGCAUUAUCAAACGAUCCGCUUUUCUGAUGACCCCUGAUGACAUCGAUGGUACCGAUUACCUUACUGUACUGCGGAUACAAUAUAGUCAACAAUCAGUAGGGACGAGUACAGCAGAUAAAACCGUCAUGGUGUAUACACGCAUUAUCUGAUGCUGGACUUAUCCUGCAGGAGGAUACAGAAAUUACGCACGGAUGUUCAGAGCCUAAAAUUGAGGAAUCCGCGAAAAUGAUGAUUUUCUACUGUAACGAUGGUGAUUCGCCAAAUUGAUUUUAAAUGUCAAACCGUACAAGAUGGGCGCAUUCAGAAGCACGUAAGAAUGUAUGCACUAGCUUGUUUAUAACUGGACCCAAGAUCAGGAGGAUCCCAGAACGCUUCAAGUUUGACAUUGGAAGAGAAAGAGAUAUAGUAUGUUCCACGAUCAUCCUGAACCUCAAUGGGAUUAUGUAUGAAACAUGAAUGAAUGGGAAGUGGCGUGUCAGAAAGAGAAAUAAUACUCAUCAGCAGUCAUUGAUGAUGUUAAGUAGGAUAUAAUUAGCUUGUUAGACACGUAGAUGAGGAGUUUCGGUGGCUGAGAAUGGAGAUGAAAGGCGAAUAAAAGGUAAAGAUCGAUGGGGCCCGUGGCAGGUUAGGACCUUAUGGGACCUUGUCUGAAAGUCAAUAGGGUCUGGUGGGGUCAACCUCAUUGGGACCUUACUCAUUCACCUUUCUACUUUCUCAGCCACGCCCUCGAUCACUCAUUGGCUGGCUCAGCAUACUUAUUUGUAAGCGGCGCGCUUACUGCUACACAGAUACGCAUAGUUUAUGCACAAAUAAAUAAUGCGUUUGUAAGCUGUUUCACUCCCUGUAAAUACCAGUGACACGAUCGAAGUGGCUGGAAUUAGUUAGCUUAAUUGGAUGGGAAGAGAAAAUAAAAGUCAAAGAAAACCGUAGCGUCGUUAUAUUCGCUUGCUGUGUAUGUAUACGUAAUAUAUUAAUUGGAUGAUUAUCGUACGAAGAUUCCACACGUUUUAUCGAACCCGAAGAAAUUGGGCCGCGCACCUUUUUUCUUUCUUUCUUAUCUCCGGCAAUUUUUGUCAUUACCGUCUUUUUUAUACUCAAACUUGUUUUUUUUCUUUUCUCUUUUUGCUUCCAUAAUCCCCCUCUCCGUAACCCCAAAAUUCCAUAAGUCCCGAGACACUCCAUGGAAGUUCGUUAACGAUUGCCAAUAUCAAAUUGCGACUUACAACAGUCAUCCAAUUAACCGUACCUCUCGAAUUUCGCAUAAAGGUGCACACACAUCAAAUUUAUCGUUUCCUGAUCAGUAUAACGUGAGCUUUAAACGAGAGACGCGUGUGAAUGGAAAAUAAGAUAAACAAAGUGUUAAAAGCAAAAUAAGACUUACGCAGUCGUACCAAUUUUUUCACAUAAAAAUUAAGUUUUAAAAACCACACUGUACUGCUUUACACGAAUAUCUCGAAAAUCGGGUUUUUGACCCUAAACGGUAUGUUUUUCCUCCCCGACCUCUUAGCAGUUCUUUCUGUAACAUCAUCAGUACAAUUUACAGCCUCGAGACAGGUCAGAGGGGGAGAUGGUCGAUUCGGCCUCGAUAUAUGCAAAUAAAUAUUAAUGACAGUACCGAGAAUGAAAAAAACUGGUUUUGCAAAAUAAUGAAUGGUUUUUCAAGCCUCUUAUUUAGACACUUCCAAUAAAUACGUAAUGUCCCAGCUACACCGUUGCAGAGACAUCGUUAACGAACCGAUACUUAACGUUCUUGCAAAAGAAUAAUUAGAAAAAAAAAAAGAAAGACAAAUCAGCAUAAAAAUAAUAAGCCCCUCGUUACUUAAAAAAGAAAAAAAAUAUGAUCAAUGAUCAUACGCACACUGAUGGAUUUUCAACUAGGAAAUGUGUGUGGAUUAUGAACGGAGCUUUAGACACGUGUACGACUGAUCCCGCACGGAGCAGCAAUAAUUCUCGCUAAUGCAGAGUCCGGGUAGCCAUUUGCGAUGACGCGGUUCGAUUGAAAACGGUAUUUCUGUGUCGAAACGUGGCGCAGGGCGAGUAACUAUUCCUGCACGUAGAAAGAUAUUAAGAAUUGUGUCCUAGAUGAAUGCGAGUAAGGAAUGACGAGGGAAAAGUGUAGAUUCCUCGAGGAGUUGACUGUAUAUGUAGAGAAAGAGAGAGACAGACGGAAUGAAAAUGGCGAGAGUGAAAAGAAUGCGGAAGGUCCCGUUGUUCCGUUAAAAAGCAGAAAGGAGGGAAAGAAAUCGGUAGAACCGAUGGGAUCGUAAACGUAAAAUGAAUACCAAGAAUGGCUGCGUUACCCGACGACGCUGAUCGAUAUCGAUUAUACCUGAUAGAAGUUACAAUUGGCAAUUGUCAAUUGGCAGUGUGAAUUCUUGACAAGAAUCUAGUAGAUUACGGAUCGAUAGCUUUGUCAUUCUUGGAAUUUCAUAGAGGCUUCGUGUCUUUUGUGCGAGAAUAAGAGACUUGACAAGAAGUGGGACGAAGAAAAAGCGGUUAGGUCGUGACUGCUUUGGUGCGCAUGCGCAAUGUCCGAUUUCUCGAUCGAUAAUCGAUAUCGAAAUGGAAAUGAAUAUACGGAAUGUAAUUGGAAAAAAUAAUUUUAUAAGUAAAUUUACGGAAAACGUACCACGUAUCCUUAAGCAUAGGAUGUCCACGGUGGACUUGAGAAAGUGUAAUAAUUAUAGGGUCCAAAGGGCCGACGUAGUUGGCUCCUCUGAAGUAUAUAUCUGCCAUGUUGACUGUAUUUGCCACUACUUAAAAGCUUAGGGCCCAAACGAAAUUGACAU